GACGAACGCUGGCGGCGUGCUUAACACAUGCAAGUCGAACGGUGAAGCUCCAGCUUGCUGGAGUGGAUCAGUGGCGAACGGGUGAGUAACACGUGAGCAACCUGCCCCUGACUCUGGAAUAAGCGCUGGAAACGGCGUCUAAUACUGGAUACGAGAAGGGUCCGCAUGGGCACUUUCUGGAAAGUUUUUCGGUUGGGGAUGGGCUCGCGGCCUAUCAGCUUGUUGGUGAGGUAAUGGCUGACCAAGGCGACGACGGGUAGCCGGCCUGAGAGGGCGACCGGCCACACUGGGACUGAGACACGGCCCAGACUCCUACGGGAGGCAGCAGUGGGGAAUAUUGCACAAUGGGCGAAAGCCUGAUGCAGCGACGCCGCGUGAGGGAUGACGGCCUUCGGGUUGUAAACCUCUUUCAGCAGGGAAGAAGCGAAAGUGACGGUACCUGCAGAAGAAGCACCGGCUAACUACGUG
rnacentral:rRNA from 1 species